AGGCCUCUCGUCAAGGCGCCUCAUCAAGACCUCUCAUCAAGGCGCCUCAUCAAGGCCUCUCACCAAGCGCCUCAUCAAGGCCUCUCACCAAGGCGCCUCAUCAAGACUUCUCGUCAAGGCGCCUCAUCAAGGCCUCUCAUCAAGGCGCCUCAUCAAGGCCUCUCAUCAAGGCGCCUCAUCAACACUCUUCGUCAAAUGCGCCUCAUCAAGGCGCCCCAUCAAGACUCCUCGACGGGACUCCUCGUCAGGACCCCUUAUCAGAACCUAUAAAACCGAACGGCUUACUAAACGCCUACAAAUAUAGGGGCAAACCCUCCAAAAAGAACCAUCAGGACUAGCUCCUCGACAAGGAGUCCUCAUCAAGACGCCUUGUCCAAACUCCUUGUCAGGACUUGCAAGCUCCCCUCAAAACUUGGAAGCUCCCCAUCAGGACUUACUCCCUCAUGGACUUGCUCCCCAUCGGGACUUGCUCCUCGUCAAGGCGCCUCAUCAAGACGCCUUGUCCAAACUCCUUGUCAGGACUUGCAAGCUCCCCUCAAGACUUGCAAGCUCCCCAUCGGGACUUACUCCCUCAUGAACUUGCUCCCCAUCGGGACUUGCUCCUCGUCAAGGCGCCUCAUCAAGACGCCUUGUCCAAACUCCUUGUCAGGACUUGCAAGCUCCCCUGAAGACUUGCAAGCUCCCCAUCGGGAAUUACUCCCUCAUGGACUUGCUCCCCAUCGGGACUUGCUCCCAUCAUGACUCAAUAAAGAUAGUCAAUCAAUAUCGACGCCUUCUCAUUUGAUGGUGUCAGAAAAGACUAAUCGGUUGACGGCCUGAGGAGUGGCCUAGAUUAGCGCCCCAAAUUAGAUUCAUCACCUAAAACACUGGGAUUACCGUCCACAUACGGCAACAAAAUUCAUUUCAAAAAAUCAGCGUAUGACUGAAAAGGGAUGAAUACAUAAAAAGUGCACAGAAGGCACAAAAAUUCCUACACGCGCACACAGCGCGGAAACUAAAAUAAAGAGUGCCAAAAAGUACCAAUAUUAAUACAAAACGCUGGCACCGCGAAAACCAACAGUCAAAGAAAAGGUUAAGGACCAGGAGCGGUCAAACUACCAUCCUGGACGUCCAGCCCGACGGAGGAAUUCACUUCUUCUUCCUCCACGUCUUCCUCCUCCCAAUCAGGACUUGCAAGCUCCUAUCAUGACUUGCAAACUCCCAUCAUGACUCAUGUCUAGCCACAUGUUAGAGCACAAGUUUCUCUCUAAAUGUGCCCCAAGUUGAGUCACAACUGACAAAAUGUUGCCUCCCGCCAUAAGGUACUAUUUGAGUCGCUCAUUAAUUUUCAAAGGCGAUUUACCUUGUAAAAAGAUAAGACCCCCUUUGAGGGGCAAAUGAUGUGGCAAAAAAUAAUUGGACAUCAUGUCCCAAUGAUAGCUUGACACAUGUCCUCUAUAAAUGCUACGAAGGCCCGACUUGUUUGACAAGCCCAAUCCUAAAAAGGCACCUUAAAGCCCUUUAUUUCAAAACGCACCAGAUAAGGACACAUGUCCUCAUCUCUAAAGAUCAGCCAGUCAUAUAGCUAGGGUUUUCGGACACUUCCCAAAAACCCUAGCCCUAUAUAUAUAGUCCAAUUCCCAAGGUAAAAGGGGCAAUCAAUUCAUUCCCACCAACCUAAAACUAUCUUUGCUCUGCCUUCUCUCAAAAAAUUACUUCCCUCUCUAGCUUAUACUUACUUAAGCAUCGGAGGGAAUAUUCCUACAGGAAUAUUCUUGUUUUGCAGGUUGCCAGAGGUUCGUGCCAACUCAUACUUGAUACCUCCGAGGAACGCGUGACACGUCAUCACCGUAAAAGAUCCCACAACAGUGUACAUGGUGCAGGUAUAACAGAUAAAGCAACUCAUGUUUACUGCAGCAAGCUGAGUAGUUAGAAAUUGUUAGGGCAUCAAGCUAGCCAAUGAGUAAGUGGCUAUGCAUUUGCCAGUCUUGUGUUUUUAAAAGAGGGUGUGGCAUAACUUUACUCUUUGUAGACAGCCUUAAGGAUUUGGAGAAUUUGCGAAUUCAGCUACGAGGUUUAACGUGCAAUGGUUGGAGUUUGAUAAUUCCUAUUUCAAGGUACGUAUAUGUUGAGAGAUAUGAAGCUGGCCAGGAAGCAUGCAUUUAUCAAGGAUUACACUGAAGCCCAUACCAAACUCGACAACCUUGAAGCCACAUUUAUCCCCCCGAGUUCUGUCUUAUUCCCAAAUCUCAUGUAUUGGUUCUCUUUAACAUUUGUAUCUGGUUCUCCUCCUAUAAAAACUUUCCUUUCUUUUGGGGUGGGUGAGGUGUGAGCCUCAUACUAUUUGUAUCUAAAACUUUGUGCCCUCAAACCAUCAAGCCAUAAAUUAUCUUGAAGGCUAAUGUAUUAUAUAUGAAGUACUCCAAAAUACUGCUUAUGUUUUAUUGAUGUAUAUGAAAUACUUUGUAUUUCAUCCAUUCA